rnacentral:piRNA from 1 species
ACUGUAUUCAAAGGGCGCAUCAUUAGGAA